GACGAACGCUGGCGGCGUGCUUAACACAUGCAAGUCGAACGGAAAGGCCCUGCUUGCAGGGUACUCGAGUGGCGAACGGGUGAGUAACACGUGGGUGAUCUGCCCUGCACUUCGGGAUAAGCCUGGGAAACUGGGUCUAAUACCGGAUAGGAGCCAUCUUUAGUGUGAUGGUUGGAAAGUUUUUUCGGUGUAGGAUGAGCUCGCGGCCUAUCAGCUUGUUGGUGGGGUAAUGGCCUACCAAGGCGGCGGCGGGUAGCCGGCCUGAGAGGGUGGACGGCCACAUUGGGGCUGGGGAACGGCCCAAGCUCCUAAGGGGGGGAACAGGGGGGAAUAUUGCACAAUGGGCGCAAGGCUGGUGCAGCGAAGCCGCGGGGGGGAUGACGGCCUUCGGGUUGUAAACUCCUUUCGCUAGGGACGAAGCUUUUUGUGACGGUACCUAGAUAAGAAGCACCGGCUAACUACGUG
rnacentral:rRNA from 1 species